AAGGGGCCGUAGCCGGUUUGGUCAGUCCUCCGGGAAAUCUGAUAGCUCAACUAUUAGGCUUUCGGGGGAUACUGCCAGACUUGGAACCGGGAGAGGUAAGAGGUACUACAGGGGUAGGAGUGAAAUCUCGUAAUCCCUGUGGGACCACCUGUGGCGAAGGCGUCUUACCAGAACGGGUUCGUCGGUGAGGGACGAAAGCUGGGGGCACGAACCGGAUUAGAUACCCGGGUAGUCCCAGCCGUAAACGAUGCUCGCUAGGUGUCAGGCAUGGCGCGACCGUGUCUGGUGCCGCAGGGAAGCCGUGAAGCGAGCCACCUGGGAAGUACGGCCGCAAGGCUGAAACUUAAAGGAAUUGGCGGGGGAGCACAACAACGGGUGGAGCCUGCGGUUUAAUUGGACUCAACGCCGGACAACUCACCGGGGACGACAGCAAAAUGUAGGCCAGGCUGAAGACCUUGCCUGAAUCGCUGAGAGGAGGUGCAUGGCCGUCGCCAGUUCGUACUGUGAAGCAUCCUGUUAAGUCAGGCAACGAGCGAGACCCGUGCCCACUGUUACCAGCAUAUCCUCCGGGAUGAUGGGUACUCUGUGGGGACCGCCGGUGUUAAAUCGGAGGAAGGUGCGGGCCACGGU
rnacentral:rRNA from 1 species